AGAGAGACUCUGUGUAUUCAAGGGAAGGCGAGAAAAUGGGUUGUUUUGGAAAUGACAACUCACAUCCCAGUCCUCUCAAAACCACUUAAGAAGUAACCAAAGAGUUUGGGAACAGCUCCUUCGAAGAAAAAUCGCCUAUGUUGUCUCCAUGCACCCUGGAGGGAAGCAUCUCGUGGAACUGGCCUCUGUGCAAAACUUCCUAAAUUGUGUGGAUCUACUCGAUGACAAGCAAGUCUGGUUAGAUCGUUCUUCGGGGGGAGAGGAAUAGGUUUAAAGGAGUAGGGGAAUAAUUAAGGGUGGGUGGGUUGUUAUUUUUCUAUUUUUUUCUUGACUAUGCAGCUAUCUUCAGCUAUUCUUCUUAGAUCUCCAGUCCAGG